UCAGCUCGUGUCGUGAGAUGUUGGGUUAAGUCCCGCAACGAGCGCAACCCUUGUCUUUAGUUACCAUCAUUCAGUUGGGGACUCUAGAGAGACUGCCGGUGAUAAACCGGAGGAAGGUGGGGAUGACGUCAAAUCAUCAUGCCCCUUAUGACCUGGGCUACACACGUACUACAAUGGCGCAUACAACGAAGCUGCGAGAUGGUGACAUCAAGCGAAUCUCUUAAAAUGCGUCUCAGUUCAGAUUGGAGUCUGCAACUCGACUCCAUGAAGUUGGAAUCGCUAGUAAUCGCAGAUCAGCACGCUGCGGUGAAUACGUUCCCGGGCCUU
rnacentral:rRNA from 1 species